rnacentral:rRNA from 1 species
AGAGUUUGAUUCUGGCUCAGAACGAACGCUGGCGGCGUGGAUAAGACAUGCAAGUCGAACGGGACUUUAUUUUGUAGCAAUACCGAAUAAAGUCUAGUGGCGAACGGGUGCGUAACACGUGAGCAACCUACCAAGAUGUGGGGGAUAGCUCGCCGAAAGGCGAAUUAAUACCGCAUAUGGCCAGGGAAGACAUCUUCCUGACGCCAAAGCCGGGGUAACCUGGCGCUUCUUGAUGGGCUCGCGGCCUAUCAGCUUGUUGGUGAGGUAAUGGCUCACCAAGGCAUCGACGGGUAGCUGGUCUGAGAGGACGACCAGCCACACUGGAACUGAGACACGGUCCAGACACCUACGGGUGGCAGCAGUCGAGAAUUUUUCACAAUGGGGGAAACCCUGAUGGAGCGACGCCGCGUGGAGGAUGACGGUUUUCGGAUUGUAAACUCCUGUCAUUAGAGAACAAUGCACAUGGUUUAACUGACUAUGUGUUGAUAGUAUCUGAAGAGGAAGGGACGGCUAACUCUGUGCCAGCAGCCGCGGUAAUACAGAGGUCUCAAGCGUUGUUCGGAUUCAUUGGGCGUAAAGGGUGCGUAGGUGGCGAUGUAAGUCGGAUGUGAAAUCUCUGGGCUCAACCUAGAAACUGCAUUCGAUACUGCGUUGCUAGAGGAUUGUAGAGGGCAUUGGAAUUCACGGUGUAGCAGUGAAAUGCGUAGAUAUCGUGAGGAAGACCAGUGGCGAAGGCGAAUGCCUGGGCAAUUCCUGACACUGAGGCACGAAGGCUAGGGUAGCGAAAGGGAUUAGAUACCCCUGUAGUCCUAGCAGUAAACGGUGCUCGCUUGGUGUGGGAGGAUUCGACCCCUUCCGUGCCGGAGCUAACGCGUUAAACGUGCCGCCUGGGGAGUACGGUCGCAAGAUUAAAACUCAAAGAAAUUGACGGGGACCCGCAC